AUUGAACGCUGGCGGAAUGCUUUACACAUGCAAGUCGAACGGCAGCACGGGGGCAGCCCUGGUGGCGAGUGGCGAACGGGUGAGUAAUACAUCGGAACGUGCCCGGUCGUGGGGGAUAACGUAGCGAAAGUUACGCUAAUACCGCAUACGAUCGGAGGAUGAAAGCGGGGGACCUUCGGGCCUCGCGCGAUCGGAGCGGCCGAUGUCAGAUUAGGUAGUUGGUGGGGUAAAGGCCUACCAAGCCGACGAUCUGUAGCUGGUCUGAGAGGACGACCAGCCACACUGGGACUGAGACACGGCCCAGACUCCUACGGGAGGCAGCAGUGGGGAAUUUUGGACAAUGGGCGCAAGCCUGAUCCAGCCAUUCCGCGUGCAGGACGAAGGCCUUCGGGUUGUAAACUGCUUUUGUACGGAACGAAAAGGCUCUGGCUAAUACCUGGGGCUCAUGACGGUACCGUAAGAAUAAGCACCGGCUAACUACGUG
rnacentral:rRNA from 1 species